GAUUGCUGGGAUGAGAGGUCAUCUGCAAGCCGUGCUCUGAAUCCUUCACUAACAGAAAUUCCAGCUAGCUGCUUGUCCAGGGCCUGCUCUCCCUUCAGUUUCUGCAGGGCUCCAAGGGAUGGCAUGCUGAACUCAUCAGGUUCCACAGUGUUUUCUCCAUCCUGCAGUAUGUGCAGCACAUAAGUAAAUCUAUUCAAGCAGAUACUGUUCGAGACUGCAAAGUCCAAGAAAGGGAGUAGGAUGCGAUCGGCACUAUCCUGGGUAUGAUGCCUGUGCAAACCUUUUGUGUUGCCAUUUCCUCUAUUACAUUAAGGAUGUAGCCGCCUUCUGUCCGGAAAAUACUGACUCAAGUCACCUCUUGAUCUGUGCGGUACGUGAUGCGUCAUGACACUAAAUCCACAGAUAUUCAAAUCAGAUUGGAAACAUGACCUUUUGAACUGAUCCAAUUUUAGUCAACGUAUUGUCAAUGUCUUCUUCUCUUGU
rnacentral:lncRNA from 1 species